AGAAUCAACGCUGGCGGCGUGCCUAACACAUGCAAGUCGAACGAGAAAGUGGAGCAAUCCAUGAGUAAAGUGGCGCACGGGUGAGUAACACGUGACUAACCUACCCUUGAGUGGGGGAUAACCUAGGGAAACCUGGGCUAAUACCGCAUAAUACCUACGGGUCAAAGGAGCAAUUCGCUUCAGGAGGGGGUCGCGGCCGAUUAGUUAGUUGGCGGGGUAAUGGCCCACCAAGACGAUGAUCGGUA
rnacentral:rRNA from 1 species